rnacentral:rRNA from 1 species
CGUGGGUAACCUGCCCAAGAGAUCGGGAUAACACCUGGAAACAGAUGCUAAUACCGGAUAACAACAGAUGAUGCCUAUCAACUGUUUAAAAGAUGGUUCUGCUAUCACUCUUGGAUGGACCUGCGGUGCAUUAGCUAGUUGGUAGGGUAACGGCCUACCAAGGCGACGAUGCAUAGCCGAGUUGAGAGACUGAUCGGCCACAUUGGGACUGAGACACGGCCCAAACUCCUACGGGAGGCAGCAGCA